CAUGCACUAGCCUAGAUUCUAAAGCAUAUCCAUGUACUAUUUUAUAGCAUAUUCUUAUCUAUUGUAAAGUACUCGUUAAUUCAGUUGUUUCUGUAACUGCAAGAGAGUCCUAAUAAACUAUUACUAUUACUAUAUGCCAGCAAAAAUUAGGCCCCUGGUUAACAUAUGCCCUUCGUCUCAAACGCCGAGCCCGCCUAAGCUCGCAGCCUUCCGGGUCUAGUUCCUUCAAUAAAUGCUCCACUUUACCUCUAGGUACCAUAUAACCUUCUGAUCGAAGUGUGUGCCACAUUGUCCUAUAACCACCCAUACAUCCAGGCCCAUCUAUUUCACUUUGUGUUCGUGCGCGUACUUCUUCUUCAUUAAAAUCCGUAUCUUUUCGACAAAGACCUAACUGUUGAAAACGGUUUUUCAAUGUUCGAAAACACCUUGAAAUCCCAUGAUACUUGGAUAUAAAAUCCAAUAUCGUAUUAUACUCCUACCCUUGGUAAAAAUAAUGCUUUAAGAUGUUUGUCUCUGUAUCAAGUUGAUUGCCACAAGACGAACAAAAGUUGUUACCAAUUAACCCAACCUGUUCGUUGCAUUCAGCACAACAUAUUACAGCCGCCAUGUUUUUGUUGUUUUUGGCGGGAAUUGUCUUAAGGCCGGUUAAUUAAUAGAAUGUAAAACAUAAUGAAUUUAAUACGCGUAAGCAAUUUGAAUUUCGCGUAAGCAAUUUGAAUUUCGCGUGAGCAAUUUGAAUUUCGCGUGAGAAUUUGAAUUUCGCGUGAGCAAUUUGAAAUUCGCGUGAAAAUUUGAAUUUCGCGUAAGCGAUUGGAAUUUCGCGUAAGCGAUUGGAAUUUCGCGUAAGCGAUUGGAAUUUCGCGUAAGCGAUUGGAAUUUCGCGUAAGCAAUUGGAAACAGUGUUGCACUUAUGGGUCACCGUACAUAUGCCAUGUUGACCGCCUUGGUCAUUUUACCCUAAAACAGUUGAGAUUACCUGUGCUAAAUGAAACGCACACAAACAUCUAUACAGGUCCUUGACUAUAUAGCUAAACUACAAUUUACAUGCAGAAAACUCACCAGUAUCUGUUCGAUGAUCAGUUUUUUUGCAAUUCAGUUAAACUGGUGAUCGAACAUUGCCGCCGCUUGAUAAAGACAAACUUUGACAAAUAAUUUCGAAGCCGUAUUAGUGCC